rnacentral:lncRNA from 1 species
GGGCUGACACCACUUGAAGAUAAGCCCGUUCCUCUCUCUGGUAUAUUCUUUGCUUAAUAAAUCUUGUGGGGUGGUUAUUUGUGUGUCUCAUCCAAUUCUUUGUUCAUAACACCAAGAACCUGGAACUCCCAACUUCCAAUCUGGUAACAUAUUUUGGUGAGCCAGCCAGGAGGGUCAAGCCUGCAAUACCUAAAGCUCCAGACCUGGAACCCAAAGCUCCCAUCAGUCGCUACCCUGUGAACCUGUGGAGGAUCUGAAGUACCUGUUUAAAAGGCAUCCAAAAGAUAGAAUCUAUCAAGCUACAAAUGGCUAUGUUGCCUGAAGCCCCAGACAUCAUCCUACAAGAAAUAAGUCCAGACUUCUUAAUUUCCCCCUGGAUAGAGCAGGGUAAGAGUUCUGUGGUCCCCUGUUAGGUGGGGCCAGCAGUCCCACUCAGCUGGAAGCAAGUAUAGAAGAAAGAACUUCAACCCUCAGCAACCUAUUAUGAUUUAUGGGGAUCACAUCUCUCAGAGGGAAUUGAGGCAGGAGAAUAGGGAAGGAAGUCAGAAAAUCAACCUGCAGCCUUUUCUCACCAAAACAAGCAUAAGGCACCAUCUGAUAAGGAAGCUGAAGCAAUGAACCAAUGCUUUCUGCAGUAAACAAAUCUGGUAUAACCUUUUAUUAUAAUAAGUUACUUAAAGCCCAUACAUAUGGAAUGCAUAUCAUACAUACACUUAAAAUUAUGGAAUGGCAAGCACAUGCAGGCGCACUGAGAGAGAAAACCAACAAGAAAACUGAUAUGUCAAUUAUAGGCAACCUCCUCCCUAAAAGUUAAGUAAGAGUAGUAAAACAAAGGCU